CGGCGGACGGGUGAGUAACGCGUGGGUAACCUGCCUCAUACAGGGGGAUAACAGUUGGAAACGGCUGCUAAUACCGCAUAAGCGCACAGUACCGCAUGGUACCGUGUGAAAAACUCCGGUGGUACGAGAUGGACCCGCGUCUGAUUAGCUAGUUGGUGGGGUAACGGCCUACCAAGGCGACGAUCAGUAGCCGACCUGAGAGGGUGACCGGCCACAUUGGGACUGAGACACGGCCCAA
rnacentral:rRNA from 1 species